UAGGGAAUCUUCCACAAUGGACGAAAGUCUGAUGGAGCAGCGCCGCGUGAGUGAAGAAGGGUUUCGGCUCGUAAAACUCUCCGUUGUUAAAGAAGAACAUAUCUGAGAGUAACUGUUCAGGUAUUGACGGUAUUUAACCAGAAAGCCACGGCUAACUACGUGCCAC
rnacentral:rRNA from 1 species